CCUACGGGGUGCAGCAGUGAGGAAUAUUGGUCAAUGGGCGUAAGCCUGAACCAGCCAAGUCGCGUGAGGGAUGAAGGUUCUAUGGAUCGUAAACCUCUUUUAUAAGGGAAUAAAGUGUGGGACGUGUCCUGUUUUGUAUGUACCUUAUGAAUAAGGAUCGGCUAACUCCGUGCCAGCAGCCGCGGUAAUACGGAGGAUCCGAGCGUUAUCCGGAUUUAUUGGGUUUAAAGGGUGCGUAGGCGGCCUUUUAAGUCAGCGGUGAAAGUCUGUGGCUCAACCAUAGAAUUGCCGUUGAAACUGGGAGGCUUGAGGAUGUUUGAGGCAGGCGGAAUGCGUGGUGUAGCGGUGAAAUGCUUAGAUAUCACGCAGAACCCCGAUUGCGAAGGCAGCCUGCCAAGCCAUGACUGACGCUGAUGCACGAAAGCGUGGGGAUCAAACAGGAUUAGAUACCCCGGUAGUC
rnacentral:rRNA from 1 species